CAGUAGGGAAUCUUCCACAAUGGACGCAAGUCUGAUGGAGCAACGCCGCGUGAGUGAAGAAGGUCUUCGGAUCGCAAAACUCUGUUGUUAGAGAAGAACACGAGUGAGAGUAACUGUUCAUUCGAUGACGGUAUCUAACCAGCAAGUCACGGCUAACUACGUGCCAG
rnacentral:rRNA from 1 species